UAAAAAGAAAAGUAUGGCUAUAAAAAGCAUAUAUUUAUAUUAUUGGAAAUAUCGACUCACACACGUUUGUUAAUAAGCCUAAUUUAUGUAACCAAAAAAAAAAAAAGCCUAAUUUAGUCAUCAUAUCAUAUCAUAAAUAAAUCCGCGCGAUUCAUUCCUUCAUCCAUAUUUCAAAGCAUCAAGUUGCUUGCAACAACCUAAUUUACUUUUUUUGGUUUCGUUGAAACUUCGAAGACUUGUUCAUACCGUAAACUUCAACAAGGAACAAGUAUAAUCAUAAAAUUAUAUGGAUAGCAAGUCACCGAGCAAGAAGGAGACUACUGAGGUGGCAGCACGCGAGUCGCUUAUUGCUAUUUCUAACACUUCACCAGAUAAGAUUCAGGAUUCUAAUUCUGUCUCUGAUAGCAAGAAAUCAGAUGGGAUUGUGUUGCCUAACUGUGAUCAGGAUGAACAGUUUAGGUCUGAACUGAUUUCAAUUUCAUAUGCUGAAGCUGAAUCACCUGAUAUCAAGAUGGGAUCGAUUGCAAUGGGAGUCUAGGCUACCGCUAUAAUUGUUGGUAAUUCAUCUGUAACGAACUUUGUCUAUGUCUGUUGUGACUAAAUUAGUUGUGUACUUUAUUUGCUAUAUUGAAAGUAAAUGUAUAUACUUUCAUAGGCCACAUGUUUUGGUCGUAUGUUAGAAUGACUGUGAUAACUACGUUGUCACAAUACUACUAUGUUAGUUCAUGUGAGAUUCUGAAAAUAAAUGUUCAACUUGUACCAUGUUUUCAUAUGUUAAAUAACAUUGAAGUCUUAGCCACA